CAGCUAGUUAUUCCCUCUCCGAGAGGAGCGGGUAAACUGUUGAACCCCAUUCGUGGUAGGGAUCGGAGCUUGCAAUUGUUCUCCGUGAACCAGGAAUUCCCAGUAGGCGCAAGUCAUAAGCUUGCGUCGAUUACGUCCCUGCCCUUUGUACACACCGCCCGU
rnacentral:rRNA from 1 species